CUUUACUGUAACCUGGAAUUGGGUUCGGGCUUUGCUUGCGCAGGAUAGGUGGGAGGCUAAGAGAAUACCCUUGUGGGGGUAUUGGAGCCACGGUGAGAUACCACUCUAGUGAGGCCAGAAUUCUAACUGAAAGCCGUUAUCCGGCUCUGGGACAGUUUCAGGCGGGCAGUUUGACUGGGGCGGUCGCCUCCUAAAUGGUAACGGAGGCGCGCAAAGGUUCUCUCAGGCUGGUUGGAAAUCAGCCGUAGAGUGUAAAGGCAUAAGAGAGCUUGACUGUGAGACCCACAAGUCGAACAGGGACGAAAGUCGGCCUUAGUGAUCCGACGGCACUGAGUGGAAGGGCCGUCGCUAAACGGAUAAAAGUUA
rnacentral:rRNA from 1 species